rnacentral:tRNA from 2 species
GCGACUGUGGCGAAAUUGGUAGACGCAAGAGGUUUAGGUCCUCUCGCUCGUUAAGAGUGUGCUGGUUCGAGUCCAGUCAGUCGCACCA